GACGAACGCUGGCGGCGUGCUUAACACAUGCAAGUCGAACGGAAAGGCCCUGCUUUUGUGGGGUGCUCGAGUGGCGAACGGGUGAGUAACACGUGAGUAACCUGCCCUUGACUUUGGGAUAACUUCAGGAAACUGGGGCUAAUACCGGAUAUGAGCUCCUGCUGCAUGGUGGGGGUUGGAAAGUUUCGGCGGUUGGGGAUGGACUCGCGGCUUAUCAGCUUGUUGGUGGGGUAGUGGCUUACCAAGGCUUUGACGGGUAGCCGGCCUGAGAGGGUGACCGGCCACAUUGGGACUGAGGUACGGCCCAGACGGCAACGGGAGGCAGCGGGGGAGAAUAUUGCACAAUGGGCGGAAGCCUGAUGCAGCAGCGCCGCGUGCGGGAUGACGGCCUUCGGGGUGUAAACCGCUUUCGCCUGUAACGAAGCGUGAGUGACGGUAAUGGGUAAAGAAGCACCGGCUAACUACGUG
rnacentral:rRNA from 1 species